rnacentral:rRNA from 1 species
UAACAACGGGGGAAUAACCCGUUGAAAAACCGGACUAAUACCCCAUAAAACAGGGAUCCCGCAUGGGAAUAUUUGUUAAAGAUUUAUCGGUUGUAGAUGGGCAUGCGUUCCAUUAGCUAGUUGGUGAGGUAACGGCUCACCAAGGCAACGAUGGAUAGGGGAACUGAGAGGUUUAUCCCCCACACUGGUACUGAGACACGGACCAGACUCCUACGGGAGGCAGCAGUGAGGAAUAUUGGUCAAUGGGCGCAAGCCUGAACCAGCCACGUCGCGUGAAGGAAGACGGCCCUACGGGUUGUAAACUUCUUUUGUAAGGGAAUAAAGUGUAGUACGUGUACUAUUUUGCAUGUACCUUACGAAUAAGGAUCGGCUAACUCCGUGCCAGCAGCCGC